CAGAGUGCGUCCCAGCUUCGUCGUCGCGACGGAGGCUGGCUGCUGGACGUUCGGCGUCGGGCGCGCUCUUUUGUUCUCGAAAAAGGGGUUUGCCCCCGAUCUCGCUCGAUUUCGAUAUUUCCAAACGGUAUGACGUAAAUCGGGGGACAGUUUUCGGAAAUCAUUUGUUUCGGAUCAUUUCGAUUUGUCCCUGGUAUUGUUGGUAUCUUUUUCGAGUUGACAAUUAAUUAAAUGGUCUUUUAUGGAUAGGAAUAGAUGUAGGAUUUAUGUGCCAGAAGAUCUAGGAAAAAUUCAAAGAAAAUUCCCAACCCGUCAUCUCAUGUUAACCCACAGCCAUAGCGAUGGAGAAUUUCCAGCUUAUAGUAAAG
rnacentral:lncRNA from 1 species